AAGAAGAAAACUUGCAUCCACCAAACCUAUGAUCAUUGAUAUUUAUGUGCCAACCCUGCACUUACGGUACUCAGGCAUCUUAUUCUGCUCGGGAUUGGCCGGCUCGAGAAGACAAGAUGAUGCCGACGAUAAGGCCAUAAAGAGCCAAAGCUUCGGCAAAGAUGAGAAUAAGGAUCAUUCC